UUCCAAGAGAAAUUCUUCCCAAGAAGAAAAAUCCCAGUUCGGAUCCACAUGUGGAUUCCAGAUCCCAGGAUCCACUCUGUGCCAUAAUAAGGCUGUGCUAUCAGCUGGGAAACGUGAUGUCAACUGCAACACAGAGUAAAUCCAAGAGCAGAGAAGGAAGUCUCCAUGGCGUCUCUACUGAGUGAGCAGCUGAGGAGACGAAUGACUUUCCCAACUCCUGUUUCUGUUCACAGAACCCAGGGCAGGAUCAUCCAUUCCACGAUGGUGGGAGGUGGUCCCUGCAUGUGAAGGUCAGUCCUGACGAUGUGCUGCGACGCCAGCAGGAGCAUGAAGAGGAAGGUUAGUGACUCCAUACCAGACACGCUCAGGUUGCAGUUAUUUCAGACUGCUCCAACACCUAACAUCCUCUGGAAAUUUAAACUCUGGUCUAUGCCAGCAGACUUUGUGCUCCUGAUUGUACCCUGACAGCCCCAUGGUUCUCAAAACGUUUCCCAUCGCUCAUUAGAGAUGUCUGCAAGACCAAGACAGCUUUGUUUUCCUUACACAUUUGAUUGCUAAUCCAUCUUAAUGAAGUUACACUUCUGAGCUAACAAAUUCAGAUGUCUCACUGAGCAAUCUCAACUGUUGUUUGAGGAUGCCCGUUACACUUUGCUAUAAUGAAACCAGAAAAACUGUCUUAGCAUGGAUACAGUUACUGAUAAACAUACUCCUGCAGCAAUAUAAAUACAUCUCUGAUAGGACACAGCUGUAUCAGAAGGAACCACACUUCCAGUGGACACCAUAGUUCUAACAGCAUUUACCAAGGAGAAGACACCUUUCAUAGAAGACUAAACCAAGGGCAAGCAAAGGGAAAACCAAGUUGCUCAGUCUCAUAAAGUCAUUCAUUUCUGUAGGUAUUUUUAGAUCUUGUGAAUACAUUUUAUAUGCUACAUCAGUCUGUUUAUAUCAGAAUCAAACCAUUCUGGAAUGGGUAGUUCGAACAGAUGAGCUGACCUGAGUUAGUAUUGAAAGAUCGAUCUCCAAGAGGAAUAACUGGCAUUUAUGAAGUGGGAUGUUUAUCUGUUAUUACUAUAAUAAAUAAGACUGCUGCAUCUAACAUACAAGUGACACUGCUCCAGAGGGCAUCAAGAGACAACAUCAGAAACACACGUGAUUUGGAACCAAGCUACACACGUGUGCAGCAGAAACUGGACAACAGUUGAUGGGGUGAUGAACUCCAGAAGAAACCAAGACCUGCAGCCUGCAACGAUCAGAAAAUGUAACUGUAAAAGUCUGGAGACUUGGAAUGCGGAAACUGGUGAAAGAAACAAUUCCACAGACACUGAAAAACCAUCCAGCGCUGAUUGUCCUUUAGCUGGCUGGGGUUUAAUCUGUGAUUUCAGAAGGGUCAGCAUGGGUUGUCUAAAAGCCAGAAGAAACAGAAGGUUACACUGCUAUAUAUUCUCUUUUGAGAUCCCAAGCAGGAGCUGUGCCUGGAUGCGUUCUGCAGUAAUUUACAUGGUAAUAGAUGGUGCCAUUUCUCUGCGAUGAGGUACAACUUUUUUUGUAAGGGGGAAAACGUGUAAACACAUUUUCUCUUCAUCACAUAUGAGAGAAAGCUCUGAGGGGAGAAUAAAACUGUUUUUCCCCUGAGUCAAAGUCAGAGUCAUUUGAGGAAUCAAAUGACUGCGAGUUCCCCUGGUUGCUGUGCAACUUGCGAGCAUCUUAAAAGCGCCUCUUCUCUGCCUAAUAGCUCAUUUCUAAAACCUGCUCGCUGUGUUGUAUCUGAUGUUAGUUCUUCAAAUGGAGAGAAAUUCACACAUCAUGAAAGUGCAGCUUUAAAGACCAGCUUGGCAAAAGGGAAUGGAAACCAUUAAAUGGAACCCAUUAAAUUUUCCAAUCAAGCCCAUCCCAACCUCACUGAAAAAGGCCUAAGGGAAAUUUCAGCAUACCGCAGAAAGAAGCUCUCCCUAAUGUCACAAACCAUCAAAUGCUGUCUUUAUUGAAGAUGGUCCAGAAUGAGAGGCAGAUGUACUGUGCCAGAAGCUCUCUAUUUGUGUAAGAACACGAGCACACAACUUGCAAACAGUGUAUUUCUCUAGUACAUAACAAGAUGGUGUCACGGAUUUUUUCCAAGGACUGCUGCAUUAUCAGAGCCUCCAGUCCCUAUUACAAGUGGCAGCACAAGACAUCAUCCCGCAGACGUGAUGGAGAAUGUUCUGACAGCUGCAUUAAUGACAAGAAAUGCUUCCAAAAGGUGGAACUUAUACUCAGUUCACCUAAGGUAUGAACUAAACAUUCAGUGCUAUGAAUCCUGGGGUAGUGCUGGCGUAACAUUGUCCAGGAUUGUCCCUACGUGUAAACAAAGCCUGUAGAUGCAUUUCUGGGGGAGGCGAUCCAAAGGGCAAGCUCCUCCUUUACCUGUUGAGCAGAACCUGUCCCAGCUGAAGCUACAAUUCACUUAAUGACUAGGAGACAAGAGGCAACUCAGAGUACCUUCUUGUGAGGACAACGCCAUCGUGUCACUGUUCAGUCUCCUGGCUUCUGAAAAUGGCCGUAAGUGUCUCUGCCUUUCCAAGAAGUGAGAUCAGCAACUUCAGUCAUGGUGGUUGGGAAGCACUUUGAGGGUAGAGGCUGCUGCAAUACAAAGUCUGUUAUGUUCCCUCUUUCUUCCUUCAGUCUUGCCAGGGUCUUUGUGUGACAUUUGGCUUGCAGGUGGAUUGUGCUAUUAGAGAAUUUCAUUUUCAAUGCUCACCAAACUCAUUGUCACCUGAUCCUCUACCAAGGGGACCAUUUUCAAGGGAAAGCAGCAGCUGCUGGAGGCAGUGUCUUUUUCUUCCUAUCUAAUCUUCACCGAUAUUUUUAUGUCACCUACAUUCUACUUCUUGGGAAUUAAGUGCUUUCUGCGUGCUGUGCCAUUAAUAUAAAUAUCAAACACAGAAAUUAUGUUCUGCCCCCCCCCCCUCCCCUUAUCUAUGGGGAAAUCCCUUAUCUCUCACAGCCAUAAGUAAUUUAGGAUCAGACACAGAUGGGCUGAGAUGUGAAUGCCUCAGGGAGCAACUGAAAUAGCUCCCUGAUAGACAUCACAGGGGCUGAGCACAGUAUUUCUCUGCAUUUAUUCUGAUUAUCAUGAAGGCUGCCAACAGGCUCUUCUCUUUGGAGUUUGGUGGAGCUCUCUUCUGUACUCUUGCUGCGGAUGGUGAUAGCAAACGCUCUUCAUAGAUGAAUAAGCACUAAUUUGUAACCGCAGAGCCCUGUGUUAAUAAGCAGGACAGAGUUCUUCUAUCAGUCAGCUACAUCAGCUCCCAGUGAGGUUACCACUGAGAGGCAAAUGUGGCAUGGGAGCCAUGAAAUUAACUUUAGUUCCCCUGACACUCAUUUCAAUAGGUUAGAUCUCACCCGCAGCACUGAAUCCCACAGCACCUAAAACAUACCCCCAAGGUUAUGUGUUUGGGGGUAUAUUAUAUGCUGCUGCCUUCUACAACUAAAGCUAUUUUGGCCUUGGAGAGGGAGCUUUCACACGAACUGAACUAUAUUUUGCAGUCUGUGUGACAACGGGGCAACUGCAGUGUCUGAUGUAGUAGCACAAGUAUAUAUUCUAGCUGCACCCAAAAAGCAUGUGAUUUCUGUGAAUCCAAUUCUAUCAUGAAAAGGAGAAAUGCCAUUGCUGGCAAGCACAGCAUGGCGAGGCAGGACUGGGAGCAGCAGGUCUAUACCCCCAUCCAUCCCCGUUUGUGAGCAGGGGGGACAUGCACAGAAGCAUCUGCUCCCCCCCACCAAUACAACUGCAGGUGACUGGGGAGAACACAGCUUUUUUUUGCUUGAUUUUUCAGAAUCAAUUGGCAAGGAUUUCUUUCCUCCCAUGAAGUGAGGAAACUCCUCACUGUCAGUCCUACCCCACGCUUGGGUUUAUCCAUCAGUGCCAAAUCUUAAUGUAUUAACCCACAAAGCUUAAUACACAGCGUCCAACAGCCCAAAACAUGCUCUAACACUUGGCACAACGUUAACAGAUACAUGACCACACCGUGCAAUGAAGUGAUCUGACUUCAGGAGCAUGAAAUGGCAUGCAAAGAAAUGAACUUCUAAAAUCCAUGUUCUCCUUGCGCUCCCAAAUCCUGCAGAUGCUGCUGUUAAGAACCAAGUAGCACAACAUCCAGUGCAAGAGACAAACCACCUGCUUCCAUUUCCUAUCACGGACAGGACCUUCUGAGGAGAAAGGGAAUUGUGGUUGUUACAUCAGUUUGAUGGCUCUUAAAGGAAAUUCCAGUGGGCAGUACUCAAAGAGCUAUGUUUCUAAAUUAGCCCAAGACAGAAAGUAUCUGUGGCCUAAUUCGAUGUGUGCUGCAGAGAGCCAGUAAGCCCUAUGAGACCAGCUAUUCUACAUAAGAAACACCAGCCUCCUCAAGCUUGCAGUGUUGCAAACAGUGAGAUGAAUAAGAAAAUCCUCUUUUGUAGCACAUUUCUUUUUAAAGUUCAACCUUGUUAAUGACUGCAAAGCUAUCUGCAUUCUGCUGCUGAAGUGGGAGCUGCAGAGGGGAAGCACCUAAUGGAUGCUCAUCCUGUUAAUUACUUCUGCAACAGGAAAAGAAGGAAGGAAACCAAGUUGGGGGGGUGGUGGUGGAAGGUGGGGAAAAGGAACCAUAACCCAACACCCUCAUCAGGCACUUCCAAGAGAUGGUAGUUCUUUCUCAGGAAAAUACAGGAUGAAUAUGCUAUCAGACACCCAGCUGCUACUCAGAUGCCUGUUACAACUAAUGAUGCAAAUCCAAAUGGCAGUCAUUCCUGCCAUUAACAAGAUCACUAGCUAAGCCGAAAGAGUCCUUCAAGAAAACCAGGUGCUACCCAAAUUACUCAAUCCCUUUGCUGGUGAAUAAAACAAACUCCAGAUCCUCCACAGAUGAACAUAUGGCUUCAAAUUAUACAGAAUUUUGUCUAAUCUGUUCUCAAAAUAUUUUAAGUGAUGAUGACACAUGAAUCUUAACUAAAGGUCUCCUAUCCAUAACACAUCUCUCGACGGUAGCAGACAUGAACUCAGCUUAAGCACUAGCAAUUGGAAAUUCACCAGUGAUGUGAAUACUGACAAAAAGGAAGACUGAAUAACCUCUAAAAACCAGAAUAACCUCUAAAACCGCAGAGUUUUCACAAAAUCAUGUUGGAUUGGCUUAAAUAUUUAAGUCCCACAUAGUCUAGGACAAAGGCACCCAGGCAAAUACUGGGUAUCUACCCAUGGAAUAAGCAAUUAAGAAAGUAUUUAAGCUUGAAAUUAAAUUCAUUUCUACUCAGAGAGCUUAAACAUGUGUGCAGCUAUAGGUUUUAUUUAUGGCUGUGCAGCAGGAUUUAAGAGCAG